rnacentral:tRNA from 1 species
GGAGAGGUGGCCGAGUGGCUUAAGGCGCAGCACUGGAAAUGCUGUUUGGGGGUAACUUCAACGUGGGUUCAAAUCCCACCCUCUCCG